rnacentral:rRNA from 1 species
GGUUGAUCCUGCCGGAGGCCAUUGCUAUUGGGAUUCGAUUUAGCCAUGCUAGUCGUACGAGUUCACACUCGUGGCGAAUAGCUCAGUAACACGUGGCCAAACUACCCUUCGGAGCACAAUACCCUCGGGAAACUGAGGCUAAUAGUGCAUACCACAAUCCACCUGGAAUGAGGAUUGUGCCAAACGCUCCGGCGCCGAAGGAUGUGGCUGCGGCCGAUUAGGUAGACGGUGGGGUAACGGCCCACCGUGCCAAUAAUCGGUACGGGUCAUGAGAGUGCAGAACCCGGAGACGGAAUCUGAGACAAGAUUCCGGGCCCUACGGGGCGCAGCAGGCGCGAAACCUUUACACUGCACGCCAGUGCGAUAAGGGAAUCCCAAGUGCGCAGGCAUAGAGCCUGCGCUUUUGUACACCGUAGGGAGGUGUACGAAUAAGGGCUGGGCAAGACCGGUGCCAGCCGCCGCGGUAAUACCGGCAGCCCGAGUGAUGGCCGAUCUUAUUGGGCCUAAAGCGUCCGUAGCUGGCCGCGCAAGUCCAUCGGAAAAUCCACCCGCUCAACGGGUGGGCGUCCGGUGGAAACUGCGUGGCUUGGGACCGGAAGGCGCGACGGGUACGUCCGGGGUAGGAGUGAAAUCCCGUAAUCCUGGACGGACCGCCGAUGGCGAAAGCACGUCGCGAGGACGGAUCCGACAGUGAGGGACGAAAGCCAGGGUCUCGAACCGGAUUAGAUACCCGGGUAGUCCUGGCCGUAAACAAUGUCUGUUAGGUGUGGCUCCCGCUACGAGCGGGUGCUGUGCCGUAGGGAAGCCGCUAAACAGACCGCCUGGGAAGUACGUCCGCAAGGAUGAAACUUAAAGGAAUUGGCGGGGGAGCACUACAACCGGAGGAGCCUGCGGUUUAAUUGGAUUC